AAAAUUCGAUUUUACUUUCGAAAAAGUUAUUUUUUUACGAAUAUAAAAAAAAAAUUGAAAAAAAAAAGAUUUUUAAAUUAUUUUUUUUCCGAAAAUACAAAAAUAUAUUUUUUUUCGCGAAUAAAAGAAAAUUCCAAAAAAAACUGAAUUUUUUUCAUUAAAAUACAAAAAAUAAUUUUUUCCUAAAAAAUAUAAAUCUUUUUAAAAAGUAAGUGAUUUUUUUCAAAAGUAAAAAAAUUGAAAAUUUUCAAAUAUACAAAAAUUAAUAUAUUUAAAAAAACUAUUUUUUCAAAAAUAAAUGGAUGAAUGGAUAUCCAUUUGCUAAAAAUAUGAUAAUGGAUGGAUUAGAUGAAUUUUAUUUUUAAGGGAUGGAUUGGAUUGGAUAUUUUUAAGAAAGUUUUAGUGGAUUGUUAAUGGACUAAUGGAUUGUUUUGAUCCAUCCAUUAACGAUCCAAUCCAUAUCCAUCCAAUUCAUCCAUUUUACCAUCCCUAAUUUAUAGUGAGCAGAGAGAGAAUCUGAAGAUUCAAAAAGUGGUGAAUGUAUACAAAAAAUCCAAGCUACUCUGCAAUUGAUGAAGACUCCAAUUUAUAGAGCUUCCUUGAGGUGAUUCUGUUAACUCUGUUAACCACCUUUCCCACCAAGCUUGUUAACCGUUUGAAACUCUGUUAAUCAGUUAGUUUUGGAUUCAAUUAGCUGUUAUAGUUAGUUAGAUUUAACAUACUGAAAAGUUAGUUAUAUAGUUAUAGGUUAGCCUGAGUUGGUUAUCAUUAGUUUUCCCUGUUAAAAGUCUGCUAAAUGUAUGUUAGUAAUUGCUGCUAUUCUAUUGUGAAUUAGUCUUCUAUUGUGAUUGGAAAAUUUCUGUUAGUGACUGUUACAUGUUAGUUAGUGUUCAAUUGAAUGAUACUUAGCUAGUUUAUGAUAAGAACUCAGCUAGCUUAUGGAUCAUGAAUUUUUUGUACAAGGAGUUGAAUGAAUGUUGGUGCAGGCUUGGUGCAUUUUCUGCUGCUAUGUAAAUGUUGAUUGAAUUGAAAUUUGAAGUUAGAAGUUAGGAUUAGUUAUUUGAAAUGUGAUUAAUGAGUUAAUUUAGCCAUGUGAAUGAAAGCUUACCGAUCAAGUUAGUUAAAUUGGACUCCUAUGAUUUUGAUCUGUUUUUUCCUUUUGUGUUUGCAGCAUGGAAGGUCAAAUGGCUCCGAUGGAUGACAAUGGUCACUUAUCAUUAUACCUACAGCAUCUACCACGUAUGAGUUCCUAAGACUGCUUUGGAUCAUCACUCACAAGUAAGGCUGCACCAUGAGUGAUCCACCGUCAAUCAUUCUUUGUUGAGCUUUGAGGUUGGCCAUGAUGAUUCGGAGUUGUUGUCCCUAGAGCACCAUACGGAUUCUGCUCCUAACUUGGACGCCAAAGCAGUUGUAGAAUCCGUUUUUGUUGUUGGAUAUGCGUCCUAUUUCUGAGUUGGCAGCAUCUAAUGUCUUCAUUCUUGCCCCAAAAUUUCUUGGAAAAAAAGUAGCAUUUUUGCCCAUACAAUGCAGUGAACAAAUCUUGAUGGGGUACUAGUGAUAUAUGUAAUGGUGUAAUGUAUGAACAUAUUUUAAUAAAAUGCUUCUUUUCCUUUAUCUUAA
rnacentral:lncRNA from 1 species